CUCCCUCCACUUCGCAUUCCGCAGUCCACGCCUCCUGCCUCUCUCCCUCCCUCCCUCCCUCCCUCGUCUCUCUUCUCUCCGACCGCCGUCGCCGCCCACCACGGCGCUAGACUGCGGCGGCGAACAAAGGGGUAACCACAACCAGCGGAAGCUACUCGACGGUCGAAUUUGUGUUGGGUUGGCUUAGUUGAUUGAACUACCUUAACCUUUGCAUAUUGCUGAAAUGGAAAAUUGAGUACUUGACUUGACUCAGUAGGUGAGGAUGCAGUCUUUAGGUCCUGGGUUUUGUACAAGUUUAAAACUUCCAGUAAUCCGAAACACACAAGACUCAUUGUUUUUGCGGCGGCCUUCGUUUUGUUCUCACUCUCUUGCUCGAACUAGUGAUUGCUUGUCAUUGAGAACCCAGAACCCCUUGGCUUUUCGAGGUUCUUGUCUGAACAAUAGGUUAGAGUCCGGUAGUGGCGUGGCAAUAGUGGCGAGUUUGAGUUCUGAGGGUGAGGACGCGAAACAUGGAGUGAAGAAGAAGUUGGCAGUUUUUGUGUCUGGAGGGGGAUCCAAUUUUCAGUCCAUCCACGAGGCCUGUGUUGCCGGAUCAGUUCAUGGAGAAGUCGUUGCUUUGGUCACUAACAAAGGAGGCUGUGGAGGUGCAGUCUAUGCUAGAGACAACGACAUCCCAGUUGUUUUAUUCCCUAGAACUAAAGAAGAACCCAAUGGACUAUUCGCAAGUGAUCUGGUAGCUGCCCUUAGGAGAUAUGAGGUUGAUUUCAUUCUCCUUGCUGGGUACCUCAAACUUAUACCUGUCGAAUUGAUUCAGGCGUAUCCCAAAUCCAUUCUUAAUAUUCAUCCAUCACUUCUUCCUGCUUUUGGAGGAAAGGGUUACUUUGGAAUGAAGGUGCACAAAGCAGUCAUUGCUUCUGGGGCUAGAUAUUCAGGGCCUACGAUUCACUUUGUUGAUGAGCAUUACGACACAGGACGCAUUCUUGCUCAAAGCGUCGUCCCAGUGUUGGCUAGUGACACUGCGGAGGAACUGGCUGCAAGGGUUCUCAAAGAGGAGCAUCGUUUAUAUGUGGAGGCAGUUGCUGCAAUAUGUCAAGAACGGAUAGUUUGGAGGGAAGACGGCAUUCCCCUCAUACAGAGCAUAGACAAUCCCAAUUUAUAUAGCUAGCGGACUAUUUAUCAGCAAUUGGCUGCCUGAUCUGCACCCAUUGUUCAUCUUGGAGGCUAGUUAGAUGCAUGAAUUGUGAAGAGCUCAACUGUACAUUGCCAUUUGGAAUAUUGAGGUUUUCAAUUUUCUUCAGAUUCUUUCAAUCUGAAGAUAUUUGAAAUUUCUCGGUGUGCCUCUCUCCCUGGAAUGCUGAGUAGAUUGGUUUCGCAGUCGUUGCUCUUUGAAGUAGGGGCAACCGCUGUUGUUGGCCCUCAUAGAGUAGUUUUUCAGUUCUUUUUCUGGGGUUGGGAAUGUACUUUUAUACAUAGAUGUUAUAAGUCUUGAGUUUACGGGUUGUGCAUGAUCUAUCGAAUAAGGGGCAUU